rnacentral:rRNA from 1 species
GAGGCCUACCAUGGUGGUAACGGGUAACGGGGUGUUAGGGCACGACACCGGAGAGGGAGCCUGAGAAACGGCUACCACAUCCAAGGAUGGCAGCAGGCGCGCAAAUUACCCAAUCCCGACACGGGGAGGUAGUGACAAUAAAUAACAAUACGGGGUUCUCUCAGAUCUCGUAAUUGGAAUGAGUACAAUUUAAAUCUCUUAACGAGGAACAAUUGGAGGGCAAGUCUGGUGCCAGCAGCCGCGGUAAUUCCAGCUCCAAUAGCGUAUAUUAAAGUUGUUGCAGUUAAAAAGCUCGUAGUUGAAUUUCGGGGUUAGUAGGUUGGUCAUGCCUCUGGUAUGUACUGGUCUCACUGAUUCCUCCUUCCUUAUGAACCGUAAUGCCAUUAAUUUGGUGUUGCGGGGAAUUUGGACUGUUACUUUGAAAAAAUUAGAGUGUUUAAAGCAAGCUAACGCUUGAAUACAUUAGCAUGGAAUAAUGAAAUAGGACGUUCGAUCUUAUUUUGUUGGUUUCUAGGAUUGACGUAAUGAUUAAUAGGGAUAGUUGGGGGCAUUAGUAUUCAAUUGUCAGAGGUGAAAUUCUUGGAUUUAUUGAAGACUAACUACUGCGAAAGCAUUUGCCAAGGAUGUUUUCAUUAAUCAAGAACGAAAGCUAGGGGAUCGAAGACGAUCAGAUACCGUCGUAGUCUUAACCAUAAACUAUGCCGACUAGGGAUCGGAUGA